rnacentral:rRNA from 1 species
CCCGCUGAACUUAAGCAUAUCAAUAAGCGGAGGAAAAGAAACUAACAAGGAUUCCCCUAGUAACGGCGAGUGAAGCGGGAAGAGCUCAAAUUUUUAAUCUGGCUAGUAUUACUGGUCCGAGUUGUAUUUUAUAGAAGCGUUUUCGGUGGCAGCCUCGGUAUAAAUCCUUUGGAACAGGGUAUCAUAGAGGGUGAGAAUCCCGUCUUUGACUGAGUGCAUGCUACUAUGUGAUACGUUUUCAAAGAGUCGAGUUGUUUGGGAAUGCAGCUCAAAAGGGUGGUAGAUUUCAUCUAAAGCUAAAUAUUGGCGAGAGACCGAUAGCGAACAAGUACCGUGAGGGAAAGAUGAAAAGAACUUUGAAAAGAGAGUUAAAAGUGCGUGAAAUUGUUGAAAGGGAAACGUUUGAACCCAGCCAUGUAGUUGGAAAAUCAGUCUUUGGCUGUGAGGAGUUGCAUUGGUUACAGACCGCAAGGCUGUCCAUUGUCUCAUCUUUGCAGUCAGGGAUGCACUUUUUCAAUUGCAGGUCAACAUCAGUUUGCUUUGCUGGAUAAAACUCUGAGGGAAUGUGACAGCUUUGGCUGUGUUAUAGCCCUGGAGCGAUACAGUGGGGUGGACUGAGGCUUUAUUUUGCAGUGUGUGCUCUCGGGCAAGGCUGACUGGGUGCUAUGAGGUUGUCUGGUGUACAAUACAUGUAUUUUGCAUUGGAUUUGACUUUGUACUCGCUCAACUCGGCUCUUCCACGCUUAAGAUGUUGACAUAAUGGUUUUAAACGACCCGUCUUGAAACACGG